UUUCGUUUGUUGUAAUGUAAAUCUACAUGUAAUGUAAAGUGUGUUUCUUUACUAAAUGGAAUUGUUAAAGUGAUUUCGUUUUUUGGGUGUAAAAUUAUUAACGAAAUAUAUAAAUCCAAGUGUAAUAAAAUGGAAGUAAAACAAGAGAUUAGUGAUGAAACGUGUAAUGUAAAAGUAGAGUCUAAUGACCUGGAUGAUGCUCCUUCGGUGGGCUUUAAAUGUGAAAUCAAGGAAGAAAACUAUAGCCAAAGUACACAUGGCACAUAUGAUUAUUUAGACUUAAAUGAACAACCCAUCAAAACUGAAAUAGAAAAACAUGGGAAUAAUUUUAUUCCAUUUGAAGAAAACCAAAGAAAUGAAAAAGAUUUUCUCCAAAAUAACAAAAUGGAGAUCAUGGAGGCACUAAUUGAACAUUCAUCUCACGAAGGAAAUUAUAUGAAUCCACAUGUCGAAGGAAAAACAUUAAAUAAAAAUAGGAAAAUUGUGACUGGAAAAAAAUCUCACAAGUGUGAAGUUUGUUUUAAGCAAUUCAGUCGCUCAAGUAAUUUGAAAAUACAUUUGAGAGUGCACACUGGAGAAAAACCUCACAAGUGUGAGAUUUGUUUUAGGCAGUUUUCUCAGAAAGGUACCUUGGAAAGUCAUUUGAUAGUGCACACAGGAGAAAAACCUCAUAAGUGUGAAAUUUGUUUUAAGGGAUUUACUCAAGCAGGUGAUUUGAAAACACAUUUGAGAGUUCAUACUGGAGAAAAACCUCACAAGUGUGAAAUUUGUUUUAAGCAGUUUACUACAUCAAGUUCUUUAAAAAUACAUUUGAGAGUGCACACUGGGAAGAAACCUUACAAGUGUGAAAUUUGUUUUAAGCAAUUUACUAACGCAGGUAGUUUGAAAAUUCAUUUGAGAGUGCACACUGGAGAAAAACCACACAAAUGUGAAAUUUGUUUUAAGCGAUUUAGUCAAUCGAGUGAUUUGAAAACACAUAUGAGAGUACACACUGGAGAAAAACCUCACAAGUGUGAAAUUUGUUUUAAGCAGUUUUCUCAGAAAAGUAACUUGGAAAGUCAUUUAAUAGUGCACACAGGAGAAAAACCUUAUAAGUGUGAAAUUUGUUUUAAGGGAUUUACUCAAGCAGGUGUUUUGAAAGCACAUUUGAGAGUCCAUACUGGAGAAAAACCUCACAAGUGUGAAAUUUGUUUUAAGCAGUUUACUACAUCAAGUUCUUUGAAAACACAUUUGAGACUGCACACUGGGAAGAAACCUUACAAGUGUGAAAUUUGUUUUAAGCAGUUUUCUCAGAAAAGUAUCUUUGGAAGUCAUUUGAGAGUGCACACAGGAGAAAAACCUUAUAAGUGUGAAAUUUGUUUUAAGGGAUUUACUCAAGCAGGUGAUUUGAAAACACAUUUGAGAGUCCAUACUGGAGAAAAACCACACAAGUGUGAAAUUUGUUUAAAGCAGUUUAGUACAUCAAGUUCUUUGAAAAGACAUUUGAGAGUGCACACUGGAGAAAAACCGUACAAGUGUGAAAUUUGUUUUAAGCAAUUUAUUCGAGCAGAUCAUUUUAAAACACAUUUGAGAAUACACACUAGAGAAAAACCUUACAAGUGUGAAAUUUGUGUUAAGCAAUUCAUUCAAGCGAUUGAUUUAAAAAGACAUUUGAGAGUGCAUAGUGGAGAAAACUCUUAGUCCCGGUGUUCAUGAGCGGAAUGUUGCCAUCAGUCCGUUAGGAAAGUUUCCGUGCGACCAGCGACCGCCGUUGUGAUGUUAUGACUGGAGGUUCUAAUCGGGAGGUACACAUUAAGGUACGUUUUUACUGACGCUGCUGCCUCCGUAAUCGCUGAAAGAUCUUCGCUGAACAUGGUUGCACAAUUUUGGGGUAAUUUGAAAGCAUCUAGGGGAAUUUUUCUAAGCAGAAAUGGUUAGGGGAUUUUUUUGGGGGUAAUAUUAUGGAGAAUUUUAAGGUUUCAUGGUAAAUUAAAUUUGCGAAUGUACAUAGAACUGUAUAUUAUACUCUCAUACUAUAUAUUCGAAGACGAUAUGGCCUAUGAAUUAUUUCCAGUUCCCGCUGUUGAUAAGUAGUGUAACUUUGGUUUACUGUUCUUUACAUAUGACUACUAAAUGCGGCAAAAAUUUAAAUUUGGGGGAUUUGAGCUUUAAUUUGAGGGAAUUUCAGUUUCUAAAUUUAUUAAAUGUGUGAGUUUUAUUAAAUUACAUCUGGCAACUCUGUAGCUGAGCCGUGAGUGAGGUGUAUCUGGUUGUGCGUGUGUUUGUAUGGUUUGUAAAGAGCUGGGCCCUGAUUCUAAAUCAAAUUUCGACCAAAAACAAGUCGCUUUCAAUAUGGCGACAGUUGAAAUGCGAUUGUGCGAGCCUUGUGGAUUUUAGUUGAACUAACGAUGUGACGUCAUGAAAUAGCGACUAUCGAAAUUAAUAGCGACUUUAAAAAGGGUGUUGAUAGGGAGUUUUUGUGCACACAAAUACGUAAACGUAACGCAUCUUUUUGACAUAUACGCUUGCGCAUUAAUGGUUGAACUCCCGUAUCGCGAUACGUAUUACCUAAGGUUACGGGCUGGUACGUUAGGUUCAUACGCAUCCCUAUCGAGCCGAAAGUCACCGAAUGCACACGAGGAUCUUGCCCGAUUACCUACCAAAUGAACAUUUCAUCAGCGUACUCGUACUAUCCGUUUAUAAACAUUUUAAGGUUAUAUUGGUUAUUGUGAGUAAAAUUAUUCUGUGUUUGUAAUUGGAAAUUGGAACUUCAUAAUAGAUUUAAAAUUUUAUUGUUUUUAAGUUGUCU